rnacentral:rRNA from 1 species
AGAUUGAACGCUGGCGGCAGGCCUAACACAUGCAAGUCGAGCGGUAGAGAGGUGCUUGCACCUCUUGAGAGCGGCGGACGGGUGAGUAAUGCCUAGGAAUCUGCCUAGUGGUGGGGGAUAACGUUCGGAAACGGACGCUAAUACCGCAUACGUCCGUACGGGAGAAAGCGGGGGACCUUCGGGCCUCGCGCCAUUAGAUGAGCCUAGGUCGGAUUAGCUAGUUGGUGAGGUAAUGGCUCACCAAGGCGACGAUCCGUAACUGGUCUGAGAGGAUGAUCAGUCACACUGGAACUGA